CGCUGCGUGUCUCUCCUGCGCAGAACAAACGUCGCUGGAAACGUUUUACUUUCGCUUCGACUCGUGUGACAUUCCGGGUUUGGCAGAUACAAGAGGCGCUCACAGAGUCCAUAAUAAACGGGGGUGAGCGGAGCUGAACGGCUAAAAGCUAAAAGUUCAAAUAUUUUCUCACACUUGUCCAGGAUGUUUUUGGCCGCGUUUCUGCUACUGAGUGCUGAUGGGUUGGUGAGCUGCGCAGGAGCAGCACAAAUGCGUCCUACUGUCAAAAACACGUUUGCUGCAGAAACAGGAAACAUACGGCUCCAUUCACCUCCAUUCAUUGCGGGCUGUCUCGACAGCGCCCUCUGGCGUUAGCAGCCACGUUUUGCUACAACAGGAGGAACCGGAAGUGGUCCGGCGCGUCAGAAACUCACCAGCAGAAACAGUGCAGCGUUUGUUCGGCCACUUUUACAGGAAAAAUACAAUGUAUUCUUACAUUCAUUAUACACAAUAUAUCCUUACACUCAUUACAUUGUAUUCUUACAUUCAUUAUACACAAUGUAUCCUUACACUCAUUAUAUACAUUACAUUGUAUUCUUACAUUCAUUAUACACAAUAUAUCCUUACACUCAUUAUA